ensembl:lncRNA
GGCAAAACGUCAGGAGAGAAUACUUCUGGAACAUGGCCAUGCAACCCGGAAUACAUAUAACAACCCUGUGAUCCCGAUCAUGAAAGCCUUCGACAACACAUUUUCAAGGUUGUCUUUCGCACACAAACUUCAUUGAUUUUGCUCAUACAUUUUAAAAGGAACACAACCUACAAACUAUCUACAGACCUACUAAAAAAAAUCCAACAAAUACUGCAUUUAGCAAAGGACAAGAGGGAUCCUCUCACCUCUACAGGAGUCUACCGUAUCCCAUGCAGCUGUGGACAAGUCUACACAGGGACCAUCAAACGCAGCAGCAUUGCCCAAAUGUGAAUCAAGGAUCAUGAAAGGCACUGCAGACUGACUCAACCAGAAAAGUCAGCCAUAUCGAAGCACUUGAUGAACCAACCUGGACACAGCAUAUUUGAGAACACAAAAUUAUUUUUGAGAUGAAGAGGCUGGCAAAAUAGAAUCAGAAAAAGGAUGAAGGGAAGGUGGAAGAGUUUGUACAGAAAUACGGAAGGGGAAGAAAUGGAGGAAAUAUGCAAAAACAGCUUUCCUGGGAGAAGCUUUGCUGAUUUUCUGCAUGGCAGGACAGACGUAUUGGCUGAACUGCGUUUCACACAUUUGAAGUAAGCAAUUCAGCUGCAGCAAAAGAGAUAACAGACAAAAUCUAAAGGUACCUACUGUACUAUUUUUUUUCUUUUUAAAGCUUUAAAUGCCUAUAUUUGCUAUGACAUUUCUUCAAUUUUUUGCUAUUAAGAUUAAUAUUCAAUAAACAGUAGAAGCUAUUUGCCCAGACUGCUUUUCUGUGCUAAUAGGAUAAUGUUCCCUACAGAUCAUUCAAAUUGUCUUUGACAUCUGUAGCAAAGCUAUCAACCUCUGGCAUUUCCUGAAUGUCAAAAGUGAGCAAAAGUUGCUGUUUCAUUCAGAUGCAGACAAUUGAUAUUUCAGUCCCAUUCAGGGCAUUUUACUUCGCUGGGUUUGUAAUUUUUUUAAAAGGCAGAGAUUCCAAUAAAUACAUCUAGUAAAAUGUGAUUCCAACAUCUUCCUUGUUCAAUUGAAGCCUUUUGAAACUCAUUCAAAUGUAGCCCAAGCCACCUCUGGUGACUCUGACAUCAUUGAGGUGCUGACUCCAUCCUAGGGCUUUUUCAGAGUUCUUGAAGUUGCUAAAAUCAUAUCCGCCAAACAACUUCCACACCUCGGAUAGCUCUUUGAACUUAGGAUUGCAAUCCAAACUGGAUUCACCAUACUACUGACAUCAGAAGGAGCAUACAGAAGAUCCAUGGGAACCCAGAGAUUUGAAGAGCCAAGGGGGAAAUACUUGGGUUGGAAGAGUAGGAGGAAGGGAGAAGGAAAAGCAGAAGUAUAAGGAGGAGAAGUAUAAGUUAUCAUUGCCUGAGUAAGUCAUUUCCUUGGAAACUAUUUUUAUUAAUAUUAAAAAGGAACUGUUCAUAAUCAAUGGGAAAAAUUCUAAGAUUUUAACAUAGGUGGGGCUGGGCACUAGUUGUCCAUUACAUCCUCCCCAUCAGUAAAAAAUAAUAACAUUAAUAGUUCCGAGUGACACAGAAUCUAAUUUCCUGUCCUAGGUAUAGUAAAUUUGCUACACCAUUUUGUUGAAUAGGAAGUUGGCUAUACAAAUCUCAUUGACAGCCUAAGCUGGGUCUUUCAUAAGUAAAUGAUCUGACAGCUCCCUCUGUCAGUU